rfam:Spinacia oleracea cultivar SynViroflay scaffold25534.con0007.1, whole genome shotgun sequence.
GUGUUUGUAGCUCAGUGGAUAGAGCAUUUGUUUCCUAAGUAGAAGGUCGUGGGUUCGACCCCUAGCUAAUGCG